GGUAGCUGCGUGCCGGCAGCCGCGGUAAUGCGCAGGGAGGUAGCGUUGCGCGGAAUGACUGGGCGGAAAGGGGGCGUAGGCGGAUUGCACAGGCGGGGGUGAAAUUCCUGGCCUUAACCUGUGGGCUGCGUUCGAGACGUGUGGUCUGGAGUGCGGAAGAGGGUCGUGGAAUUCCCAGUGUAGAGGUGAAAUUCGUAGAUAUUGGGAAGAACACCGGUGGCGAAGGCGGCGACCUGGUCCGUGACUGACGCUGAGGCGCGAAAGCGUGGGGAGCAAACAGGAUUAGAUACCCCUGUAGUC
rnacentral:rRNA from 1 species